rnacentral:tRNA from 1 species
CAGGAAGNAGUUUAGUUGAAAAUACCAGCUUUGGGAGCUGGUGACGGAGGUUUGAAUCCUUUCUUCCUGA